GUGCUCGCUUUGGCAGCACAUAUACUAAAAUUGGAAAGAUACAGAGAUUAGCAUGGCCCCUGCGCAAGGAUGACACGCAAAUUCGUGAAGAAUUCCAUAUUUUU
rnacentral:snRNA from 1 species